UACAGAGGGUGCGAGCGUUGUUCGGAAUUAUUGGGCGUAAAGGGCGCGUAGGCGGUGCGGUAAGUCACCUGUGAAAUCUCCUGGCUCAACUGGGAGCUUGCAGGCGAAACUGCCGUGCUGGGGUGUGGGAGAGGUGAGUGGAAUUCCCGGUGUAGCGGUGAAAUGCGUAGAGAUCGGGAGGAACACCAGAGGCGAAGGCGGCGACCUGGACAAGUACUGACACUGAGGCACGAAAGCUAGGGGAGCAAACAGG
rnacentral:rRNA from 1 species